AUUCUUGGUCAUUUAGAGGAAGUAAAAGUCGUAACAAGGUCUCCGUAGGUGAACCUGCGGAGGGAUCAUUACACAAAUAUGAAGGCGGGCUGGAACCUCUCGGGGUUACAGCCUUGCUGAAUUAUUCACCCUUGUCUUUUGCGUACUUCUUGUUUCCUUGGUGGGUUCGCCCACCACUAGGACAAACAUAAACCUUUUGUAAUUGCAAUCAGCGUCAGUAACAAAUUAAUAAUUACAACUUUCAACAACGGAUCUCUUGGUUCUGGCAUCGAUGAAGAACGCAGCGAAAUGCGAUAAGUAGUGUGAAUUGCAGAAUUCAGUGAAUCAUCGAAUCUUUGAACGCACAUUGCGCCCUUUGGUAUUCCAAAGGGCAUGCCUGUUCGAGCGUCAUUUGUACCCUCAAGCUUUGCUUGGUGUUGGGCGUCUUGUCUCUAGCUUUGCUGGAGACUCGCCUUAAAGUAAUUGGCAGCCGGCCUACUGGUUUCGGAGCGCAGCACAAGUCGCACUCUCUAUCAGCAAAGGUCUAGCAUCCAUUAAGCCUUUUUUUCAACUUUUGACCUCGGAUCAGGUAGGGAUACCCGCUGAACUUAAGCAUAUCAAUAAGCGGAGGAAAAGAAACCAACCAAUC
rnacentral:rRNA from 1 species